UACGUAGGGUGCAAGCGUUGUCCGGAAUUAUUGGGCGUAAAGAGCUCGUAGGCGGUUUGUCGCGUCUGCUGUGAAAACUCGGGGCUUAACUCCGGGCCUGCAGUGGGUACGGGCAGACUAGAGUGCGGUAGGGGAGACUGGAAUUCCUGGUGUAGCGGUGAAAUGCGCAGAUAUCAGGAGGAACACCGGUGGCGAAGGCGGUUCUCUGGGCCUUACCAGACGCUGAGGAGCGAAAGCGUGGGGAGCAAACAGG
rnacentral:rRNA from 1 species